CUCAGCGGUAGAGCGGUCGGCUGUUAACCGAUUGGUCGUAGGUUCGAAUCCUAUCCGGGGAGA
rnacentral:tRNA from 2 species